UACAUCUUCGACAUAGUAAAAAGUCUUUCUCAGGACGCUUGAGUACAGUUUAAAAGAGUUUUGAGUUUGUGCUAUGUGAACAGUAAAGUGAGUGCAGAG
rnacentral:sRNA from 1 species